rnacentral:rRNA from 1 species
AGUGAACGCUGGCGGUAGGCCUAACACAUGCAAGUCGAACGGCAGCACAGUAAGAGCUUGCUCUUACGGGUGGCGAGUGGCGGACGGGUGAGGAAUACAUCGGAAUCUACUUUUUCGUGGGGGAUAACGUAGGGAAACUUACGCUAAUACCGCAUACGACCUACGGGUGAAAGCAGGGGAUCUUCGGACCUUGCGCGAUUGAAUGAGCCGAUGUCGGAUUAGCUAGUUGGCGGGGUAAAGGCCCACCAAGGCGACGAUCCGUAGCUGGUCUGAGAGGAUGAUCAGCCACACUGGAACUGAGACAUGGUCCAGACUCCUACAGGAGGCAGCAGUGGGGAAUAUUGGACAAUGGGCGCAAGCCUGAUCCAGCCAUACCGCGUGGGUGAAGAAGGCCUUCGGGUUGUAAAGCCCUUUUGUUGGGAAAGAAAAGCAGCAGGUUAAUACCCCGCUGUUCUGACGGUACCCAAAGAAUAAGCACCGGCUAACUUCGUG